rnacentral:tRNA from 1 species
GGUUGUGGCUCAGUGGUAGCAUGCUUGUCUAGCAUGCAAGAUGCACUGGGUUCAAUUCUCAGCACCA